UCAGCCUCCAUCUGUUGUUGGAGACUUGGUAUAAGCUGGCACGGUCCUUGCACCUGAAGGGGCUAGCAAGACUUAGCCCACUACCCACACAGUUUUCCCAGAUUUGUUUGGAUGGCGGUUAUCAGUAGAAUGAGAACAACCUUUGUAGAAUGAGAGCAAUCUUUCAUGGCUUACCAAGAAGUCUGUAACUAUUUACUGAAAUUUGCUGUACUGAGAAUCUGCCUGAUUUGCUGUACUGAGAAUUUGUACUUCUGCUUUGUCUCUCCCUUAAAGAUUAAGAAGAACAAAGAAUACAUUCCUCUUGACAGACCUCCUAUUCAAGUGUUUGUGUAUAAAAGGCAUUACACAGUUAAUAAAGUUGCUGCAAUCGGUCA